AAAAUUGCCGCAAUCUGUCUCCCAAUAAUUAGCAGCCGGAGUGCAAUACGGCGGUUGUAUCAUGCAAUCGUGCAUUAUCUUAUUCCAGUCCUCUCCGGUGACAAUACGGAAUAGCAUGGCAACACCAGUCACAGGAAUUACUUAACAUUACCUUCCUAUACCUUCACCGUAUUUGACUGUUCCAAAGAUGAUAGUGCCUGCUAGCGCAUAAAAGAAAACAAGAAGAAACAUGCCGAAUAUAAUGAAGAAACUUUUACAAACGGAUACUCCAACCGUUAACAUUAACAUUUUGAGAGUCGUAUGUUUCCCGGUAAUGGUGAAGAAUCUAAGGAUCACAACCAUAAAGCCGAUAACGUAUGACAAAUCGUUCUGUAAGAAAGCACUCCUGUCAUUACAUUUAUAAUUAAUUGAAAACGGUCAUUGGACGGUGUCUAACAUAAUCGACGUACCUUCAUUGUACAAUGAAUGACGAUCCAAAUAACACCGACGACUGUCACGAGCAAAUCAUAUCUGUUUCUUCUGGACUGCCAAUAGCCACGUGGUGUAAAAGCAAUGUUUUUCAUAAUUACCUCUACAAGGAAGAUCAGUGUCAGAAUCGUGGACACCGUAGCGAGUGCUUCCGUGUGUUCUUCCUCGAUUCUCCACUUAAGGGGGGGAAGAAAAAAUAAAAAAAAGUCAUUAACGCAAAUAAACAUGUAUGUACAUAUACGUGUAUGGUUUACUUUUACCACGGUCUAAUGGUAGCCGGCAAGGAACAAAUGAUUCAGAGUAACAGUCAUUGAAUCCUGUUCUUCAGCGAAGAGUGUAUAUGUUUGUAUAUGAAGAAUUGAUUAGUAUUUUUGUAACAGUGUCGGUUGCUCGUGUAGUGUAUUGUAAAUAAUUGUGAUAUAAAAAAAAGGAAAGAAUGCAAAAUUAUUCAACUCACAGAAACGCAUAGAAGACCACUGUUUAUUAGUACCAUGACAGCGAUGAAUCUUUUGAAAUAUAUGUUCUGAGUGAUGUCAUAGAUAAAGGCUCGAAAUUUCUUUCCAUCUGGUCUGGGCGAGUAAUUAGCGAUAACAACACCAACGAACAAUGUUAAACCAAUCAUACAGCCCAGGAAAAUAUAGAUAUGGAUAUAAAUAGCAUGGACCUAAAAAUCAUCAAACGAUAAUCAUCAUAUGAAUGAUUUAAAUUGUUAUGAAUGGACUUACGGGACCAAGAGCUUUGAUAAGAACGUCUCUAACGUCGAGCCAACCUUUGAAAGAGAGUACCUCGAAAAGUGCCAUCAGCGCGUCACCGAUAUUGUCGAAAUUAAAUCGUCUAGGAUUAGCCCUAAAAUAUUUUAUUCACUGCUUAAGAAUGUUCUUCAUAUAUCUAUAUACGUAUCUUCUUGUUAAUAAUCCUACCAGACUCGUGGCACUAGUAUAGAUGGAUAACUUUCAUUUUGGCCCGGUCGUAGUUUCAUUUUCGUCACGAAAACUCUUCUCAUGAACACUCCAACGCAAUCUUCACGUUUCAAUAUAGUGGGAUCAUUGCAACGAGCUAAUCUACCUCCGUAAAGUUGCACCCCAUAACUUGCAAAUAUGAACAUCAACAGAAACAACAGAGUAGACACCUAAAAAGCUUCUUAUUCAUUUUUUGUCUGAACUUUGCGUCAAAUCUUAUGAAACGAAUGUUAAGAUAAAUAAUCAAAGGGUAGAUCGAAUAACGUUUAAUCAGGAUUAGUUACCAAUAAGAUCUCUUUGAAGCCCCUACAUAGCUCGUAAACGACCUUCCUCAUGUGCGGUACAAGGGUGAAGAUCCUUAACGGUCUAACGCAUCGCAAGAUCAUUAGAAGUUGGGCCCCAGAAUUCGGUGGCACGCUCUUCGGCAUCCAACAGAGAAACACGAGACUGACCUGAAUGUUCAUUGAAUUAGCCUUUACGUAUUUUUUACACGUCGAAAUGCAACUGGUGAUUCUUUGAUUGUCAACAUACGACGUAGAUAAAAACGUCCAAAACGGAAGCCACGUCUUUGAUAUAGGCCUUCGGCGUGAAAAACAAUCCGUCCGCCAGAAUCUUAAGAGCUAAUUCGAUACUCAUAAAGAUCACGAAACCGUAUUCGGUGAUCUGCAACGCCGGUACUUCCAUCACGCGAUAUCGUGGUGUUUCGAACAUCAUGGAGAUGCAAGACAUCGUCGUCGCAUAGAUCAUUACCCAAUCGAGAUGAUCUAAGGCGAAUUUAAAAGCAGCCACGCUUUAAUGUAGAAAGGACUUACUGCAAACUUUUAUAUUGAACUUUCCUCUCUUUUCCAGUUAACG